rnacentral:rRNA from 1 species
UACAGGGGGGUGCAAACGUUUGCUCGGAAUUAUUGGGCGUAAAGCGCGCGUAGGCGGCUACUUAAGUCGGAUGUGAAAGCCCCCUGGCUUAACUGGGGGAAGUGCACCCGAAACUGAGUAGCUAGAGUGCGAAAGAGGGUCGCGGAAUUCCCGGUGUAGAGGUGAAAUUCGUAGAUAUCGGGGAGGAACACCGGUGGCGAAGGCGGCGACCUGGGUCGACACUGACGCUGAGGCGCGAAAGCGUGGGGAGCAACAGG